GGCCGCAGUAUUUUGACUGUGCAAAGGUAGCAUAAUCAUUAGUCUUUUAAUUGAAGGCUGGAAUGAAUGGUUGGACGAAAUAUUAACUGUUUCAUAAAUAUUUUUAUUAAAAUUUUAUUUUUUAGUUAAAAAGCUAAAAUUUAAUUAAAAGACGAGAAGACCCUAUAAAUCCUUAUAUUUAAUUUAUAAUAAUUUUAUAGAAUUUUUUUAUUAUUAUAUUUUUAUAAUAUUUUAUUGGGGUGGUAUUAAAAUUUAAUUAACUUUUAAUAAUUUAUUUUCAUUAAUUUAUGAAUAAUUGAUCCGUUUUUUACGAUUAUAAGAUUAAGUUACUUUAGGGAUAACAGCGUAAUUUUUUUGGAAAGUUCAUAUUGAUAAAAAAGAUUGCGACCUCGAUGUUGGAUU
rnacentral:rRNA from 1 species